CGCCUUUUGAUCAUUAUAAAAGGCACCGCCUGCCCAGUGACAUAGUUCAACGGCCGCGGUAUUUUAACCGUGCGAAGGUAGCGUAAUCACUUGUUUUUUAAAUAAAGACUAGAAUGAAUGGCAUCACGAGAACUAAACUGUCUCCCUCCUCUAAUCAGUGAAACUGAUCUCCCCGUGCAGAAGCGGGGAUAUAACCAUAAGACGAGAAGACCCUGUGGAGCUUAAAAUCAAAAACCAACUGUUCAACUUAACCAAAUAAAUAUCCACACAGUAAUGGCUUAGAUUUUUAGCUGGGGCGUCUGCGGAGUAAAAACUACCCUCCGUGAAGAAUUAUGCCAAGAGCAGCCGCUCUAAGCAUUAAUACAUUUUACUUAAUUGACCCAAUUUUUGAUCAACGGACCAAGUUACCCCAGGGAUAACAGCGCAAUCCACUUCUAGAGUCCCUAUCGACAAGUGGGCUUACGACCUCGAUGUUGGAUCAGGGCACCCAAGUGGUGCAGCCAUUACUAAAGGUUCGUUUGUUCAACGAUUAAAGCCCU
rnacentral:rRNA from 1 species